rnacentral:lncRNA from 1 species
ACUCUCCCCAAACCUCUCUCGCACGCGGGGACUGAGCACGGCCCGAAAAGCCGAGGACAGCCGGACUCACCCUGUAGUUAUAGUAGUGCGUCUGCACAAGAUGCCGGUGGCGCGACUUGUGGUUGCCGAAGUUGGAUUUCUCGCAAACCAAGAUGGGGUCUUGCUGUGUUGCCCAGACUGGUCUCAAACUCCUGAGCUCAAGUGAUCCACCCACCGUGGCCUCCCAAAGUGCUGAGAUUAAAGGCUACCCAUGGGGACCUCAACAGCUUUGCCAUUGCACACUAUCUUUGCAGACAAGAUCUUAAUCACAUCCAACUUUCUGCAGUUGCACAGGGUACCUCAGACCCACAUCCCAGAUGACAUUCCUCAGAAGCUCGCAGCUGGAGAUGACAUCACCUUAGACAACAUCACCCUAGCCCAAGACAUCGCUAUUAGAGAUACAUCACCUGGACACUAAAGCCUCCAACCCAGUGACACUCUCAAGGUGCUGACAAAAUGGACAUGGACAUUUGUUGCUUUUCUUCUUUUGAAUUAGGAACUCUAUUGUGUUUCCUGAAUUUACUGUCUGCUUGGCCCAUGAUCCUGGUAUGUUCCUUGCUCUCUGCCAAAACAUGCACCGUCCCCUCCACACCUAAAGGAAAACCUGGUAGAAGCUACUACUCUCAAUGCCAUUCUAAAAUUGACGAAGAGUAUUAUUUUCCCCAAGAGGCAGCUGCUGCAGGCCAGUGAAUCCUCUGGACCCUGGGGAGAGGGUCAUACACUCCCUAGUGACUUCUACUGUAUGCUCCAGCUUUCCACCAGGACCUCCUGCCCUGUCCCCAACUGUAACGACCACAACCACCCCAUCCCCUUGGUUACACACAAAUAUCACCAGUCUUUACAUGUACUUUACUGACUUCUCAGAUAAUACCCUCCAACAAGAUAACUGCAGGACUUGCCACCAUGACCUGAGAAAUACACCAAGAUAUUAUUGUCCAAUUUUUUUGAGAUAUAUAUAUAUUUCUCAUACUUUUAACAUACUCUGCAAUCCACCAAGAUAUUGGUAGAGACCCUGGAAAUUUCAAAUCUAUUUCGUCUGCUAAUGCCAUGUGAAUGGGAAACUUAGAUACAGGCUGGCCUACAAGGACUCCUUAUACUUCAAUUUUUGUUCCUCCUUUCAACUCUCAUAAAAAAUAUUUUCUGUACUAUUUAGGGCAAAUGAUGGCCUUCUUUCUAAGUCUCAUCCAUCAUUGCUGCAAAGGUGCCUUAGUUUGAUGUUAAAGUGUCACAGGGCCAAUGUAUUGACCAUGUUUCUGGCGUCUAUAAAGUCGAUGUUUUAAUAUCUGUCCUACAUGCAUACACCAAACAUUCCUUGAUCUGGAAAACCCAACAGUAUGCUUUGCUUCAGCCUCAGGCCUCCCUUGUCGCCUCCUCUGUGCCACCCCCCAUUCCUCGGGAGUCCUCCUCCUCCCAGGGGCGCACUUUUCAAAUACAAACCAACCAAUCCAGAGCCCACACCCCAACCACCUCCUUUAUUGGUCUCUCACAUGCUGGGCCACUAUCCACUUUCCCUAAUCACCCAAAGUCAGGUACCAGACAAUUAGGGACAGCCCCUAUACCCCAGAGCCUGCUGAAAUUAGCAAACUGGCCAAUCCCGAGUCUGUUUACUUUGCCUUCCUGUUUCUUCCCAAGGAAAUCACAAAAAAAGGCUCUUGUCCACAGCCCCCCUCUCGCUCUGCCUCCUGCUUCCCUGUGCGGCCCUGUGGUGUGGUGCACACCUUCCUCUUGGGAACUGUGUGAAACUAUCUCCUAAUCCUCUCCGUUGGCCUUAGUAUACCUCAAAUUUUUUGUAUUGAUACACUUUUUUUUGUGGGGUUUUUUUUGUUUGUUUGUUUUUUGUUUGUGAGACGGAGUUUCACUCUUGUCUCCCAGGCUGGAGUGCAGUGGUACGAUCUUGGCUCACUGCAACCUCUGCCUCCUGGGUUCACCUGUGAUUCUCCUGCCUCGGCCUCCCGAGUAGCUGGGAUUACAGGCGCACACCACCACGCCUGGUUAAUUUUUGUGUUUUUAGUAGAGAUGGGGUUUCACCAUGUUGGCCAGGCUGGUCUCGAACUCCUGACCUCAAGUGAUCUGCCCGCCUCGGCCUCCCAAAGUGCUGGGAUUACAGGCGGGAGCCACCAUGCCCGGCUGACACACUGUUUUCUUUUAAACAGCUGGGAAACCUCUUAUCCUCAUCACCAGUGCCAGGGUCCAGCUUCAGGAGGGCAGGGCUCACCUGCUUUACUUCCAGAUCACCAUGUGCAGCGUGGAGCUUCCCUCUGACGUGUUUGUUGGAUUUGUUUCAAAAAGGCGGCCAUGGUUUCUUUUUUUCCUUCCUCGGCCCUGAUUAAUUUCAACAGAAGAAAAUGUAUCCCCUCUAGUUUGUGAUGGAAUCCAAGCUUAAUUAGCCAUUCAUGGUGCUAAACUGUCCUGCACUGGAUGACCCAAUCGCUUCUGAUUUUCCAAGCUUGGCUCUCAGACCAUCCUGGUGGAAGAAACACUAGCAGUCUGCCCAAUCUGAAUGCAAAUCCAGAAUAAUCUUUUCUUUUGUUGUUACACAGUUAUGAGUGCAAUUUUUAAAUGGCUGCUACUCUACAGCCUGCCUGCCUUAUGCUUUCUCCUGGGCACGCAGGAAAGUGAGAGCUUCCACUCCAAAGCAGAGAUCCUAGUGACACUAAGUCAGGUAAUAAUCUCUCCAGCUGGACCUCAUGCACUCACAUGGACAACACACUUCUCUCCUUCAGUGAUCAUCAUCCUUGUACCAUGUUGGUGGCAUGCUGUAAUCGUGACUCAACAUCCGGUUGCCAAUUGCUAUGUAACAAACCACCUCAACAUUCAGUGGCUUGAAUUGAAAGCAGGGUCUUGAAGAGAUAUUUGCACAUUUCAUCCUCCCAGCAGCAUUAUUCACAACAGCCAAUAGGCAGAAGCAACCCAAUGUCCAACCAUAGAUGAGUGGAUAACCAAAAUGUAGUCCAUCCAUACAAUGAAAUAUGAUUCAGCCUUAACAAGGAAGGAAGUCCCGCCACGUGCUACAACAUGGAUGGACCUUGAGGACACUAUGCUAAGUGAAGUAAGCCAGGCACAAAAGGACAAAUACUCUAUGAUUCCAUUUUAUAGGGUACCAAAGAGAAUCAAACUCACAGAGAUAGAAAGUAGACUGGGGUGGCCAGGGACUCGGGGAGAGAGGAAAGGGCAGUUAUUGUUUAAAAGGUACAGAGUUUCAGUUUGGGAAGAUGAAAAUGUUCUGGAAACGGUUAAUGGUGAUUUUACAUUGUUUAUGUUACCACGAUUUGUAAAAGAGCAGCUGCGCUGAGAAUGAGCAUGCUUGUCAUUGGCAGCUCUCUGAGAUUUUCAGUGCCUCUUACUGGCUUGUUAAGAAGACGGCAGAUUCCUCUCCCCGUCUGCUUCUUUCAUUAUAAAAUUCCCAUUUCCAUUUUGCCUCUAGGUAGAAGCUCACGGAACUCAAAUGGGAAAUGAUGAUGGCAGGAUUUUCCUGCCGAAAAGAGGUGUCUCAAAAGAAAAACAUAUUGUAUUUAACAUGGAGAAAUGAAAUCCUCCAAAGCGAGCUUUAUGAACUGAAUUACCCAGAACGGACUUACCUCUAUUGUCAGUAUUUUUCUGCUGCCCCUUUGGGCUUCUGGUGCCUGGAUAACUAAAAGAGCAGGACAUCGUGCUGCUUAGUGGGCUUUGCAGUGGGAAGCGGGAACGUCUACCUGCAUGAGCACGGGGCACUCUGCCCAGAGCUUGGGCACAUUCCCCUAGGCACAGGAGUAAGGAAGAAGUCUCCAGUGUAGGUUAGGAAAUAGGCCUUCAGCAUGAGCUUACCACAGCUUUUUUAAGGAAAAAAUUAGUGGCUUAAAAUAAUAUUCCACUUUUUUUUUUUUGAGAUGGAGUCUCACUCCGUUUCCCACGCUGCAGUGCAGUGGUGCAAUCUCAGCUCACUGCAAGCUCUGCCUCCUGGGUUCACGCCAUUCUCCUGCCUCAGCCUCCCGAGUAGCUGGGACUACAGGUGCCCGCCACCACACCCGGCUAAUUUUUUGUAUUUUUAGUAGAGACGGGGUUUCACCGUGUUAGCCAGGAUGAUCUCGAUCUCCUGACCUCGUGAUCCACCCGCCUCGGCCUCCCAAAGUGCUGGGAUUACAGAUAUUCCACUAUUUUUUAUCAUAAUUGUGUGGACUGACUGGAUUCAGCUGGGUGAUUUGCACUCGGAGUCUCUCGCGUGGCUGCCGUCUUCUGAAGGCUGGACGUCCCACAUGGCUUCUUUACUAAUACAUCUGGUGCUUCAGCUGGGACAGCUGGGACAGCUGGCGGCUGCACAGGCAUCUCGCUCUUUGCACACAGGCUCCCCAUAUGCUUAGUUUGAGCUUGGUGAUUUUAAAGUAGUUGAACUUAGAUGGCAGCUGGCUUCCCUCAGAGUAAAUAUGCCAAGAUACCCAGGUGGAAGCUGUAAGGUUUCUAAUGACCUAGUCUGAGAUUUCACACCAAGAUGGCUUCCGUCAUAUUCUGUUGGUCAAAAAUAAGCCACACGGUGGGGCAUGGUAGCACACACCUGUAACGCCAACACUUUGGGAGGCCAAGAAGGGUGGAUCGCUUGAGCCCAGGAGUUCGAGACCAGCCCGGGCAACAUGGUGAAACCCCGUCUCUACAAAAGAAUACAAAAAUUAGCUGGGCAUGUUGGCACACCUCUGUGGUCUCAGCUACUUGGGAGGCUGCGGUGGGAGAAUCUCCUGAGCCCAGGGAAGUUGAGGUUUCAGUAAGCCAUGAUCAUGCCACUGCACUCCAGUCUGGGUGACAGACUGAGACCCUAUCUCAAAAAAAAUAAAAGCUACAGGUCAACCCAGAUUCAAGGGGAUAGGAUUACACAAAGUCACAGAUUCAGGAAGGUAUAAUUUAUUGGGGAACCGUCUUUGGAGACUAGCUACCACAAUCUGUCACCAUCUUUUAGAUAAGACGAUCAACAUAUUUCUGAGUAUACUUUAGAUUUCCACUAUCAGUGCAUUUUCUGAAACUUCCCCAGUCUUAGCACUGAAGGUCCUGCACCCCAGGAAAUAUCUAUCAGUCUUUGUCAAACCAGGAUGGUUGGUCACCCUACUUUUAGACCUCCUCAUUUUCAUGAACUCAAUAUUGCAUAAGGUUGAUCUUCCAAAAACAUGUAUCUGCCUUAAAAUUGUGAUUUCCAUCCUGAUGAGGUCUCCUCAUAUUCCUUUGUCUUUCUGGUUUGUAUAGGAUCCACUUGACUUCAGAGCUGUAGAAAUCCAAUAAUAUGGCAGUGAUGAUGCAUUCUUUUAUUGGCCCACAGUUAUUAUUUUAAUCCAAGAUACAGCUGAACACCAUAUCUUAGAUCUAAACUCUCAUACAAUAAGCCUUAAAAUGUAACUAAUAUAAAUCUGGGAGUUCAUAUGACCCUGCCUUGGUGGGAGUGACAUAUUCAAAAAACCAACAAUUUGACAAAAAAUAUAACCUAAAAACAAUUCAAGUUGUAUUUGGACUGUGAACACCAAUACGGUAUUAGUGUUAAUACAUACAUGCUUGUUACCUUAUUACAAUAGCAUAAAAUAUCACAAAGUAGAAAGAGUUCUGGGUAGACAGGAGUCCUGCUGAGUAGCUCUGUGCCCUGGGUGGGGGUUAUGAGGAAGGGUUCCCAGGUCUGCUUCCUCCACCCUGAGGUCACCAUUAAAGUUGGAAGAUGACUUAAAAAUCAGACAGCAUCAAUCCCCUUCAAUAGUUUUCUAUGGUGUAUGUGUUCAUUAAAUUCUGGGUCAUUGAACGGUCAUGGAUAACCUUAAUCUCUCUUAGCCUCAAUGUCUACUAACAUAGUUCAUAUUCUGUUAAAGUUAUGAGCAUUCGUAUUCUAAGAUUUGUAUUGAAUAUAGAUGAUAGAUUAAAAUUUUAGUGACAAAUCUUGAUGAUUCUGUAGGAACUUUUCCAUGUGAUAAAUCUUCUUUUCAUGCUAUCUUGGCUUCAGCAGAAUGGCAACAUUACAUUUAAAGACAGGCUUUGACACUUUGUGGUGUGUGUGUGUGUGUGUGUGUGUGUGUGUGUGUGUGUGUGUGUUUGGAGGCUCCCUCUCUGUUGCCCAGGCUGGAUUGCAGUGACGUGAUCAUAUUCACUGAAACCUCCAAUUCCUGGGCUCAAGUGAGCCUCCCACCUCAGCCUUCCAAGUAGCUGGGACUACUGGCGCAUGACACCAUGCCCACAUCAUUUUCUUAUUUUUUGUAGAAACAGGGUUGGUUGCCCAGGCUGGUCUUGAACUAUGUUGCUCAGGCUGCUCUUGAACUACGUUGCCCAGGCUGGUCUUGAACUCAAGUGAUCCUACCAAAGAGCUGGGAUUACAGGUGUGAGUCAACAUGCCCAGCCCUUGUGUUUCCAUUAAUGCAUUCUAUGCUGUCCAUCACAGAUCCCUACUUCACCUCAUCACUUUUUGCUUCAGAGCCCCAUGUGUACAAUGAUUCAUGGAGGCAUAUAGCAGCUCACAGGAGGGUAGGUGUAGCCAAGUAGUAUGUACCUAAAGUGAGGAGAGCAAUUGCAUAAAGAAACGUAAAUAAUGGUUUGAAUGGGGCAAUGGGAAGGGAAAGAAAGCCAAUUGUUCCUCUGAGCUUGUGGGACUUGGAAAUAAAUGUGGAAGAAUUAGCAGGACUUGUUCCAGAGGGCUGCAAGGGAGUCAGUGCACUCAGGGAGAGCCAGAAGAUAGAGUAGACUUUUAGGGAGGAAGUUGGGAUAAACCUUGGGAACAAAGAGGGCUUUAAUUACAGUGUAAGAAAGAUUUGGGAGGAGUCACUGCAGAGGAAGAUUGGGAAAGGGGAUGGCAGUGGAAGGACAAGCAGAAUGAGGUAGUAAAGGUCUCAUGGGCAUGACCGCUGUGAGACAGACCUGGUAUUGGUCAGGACCACCUUCACUUCCAUCCCUGGUCCCAAGAGCAGCUAUGCUACUGGAGUGAGAAGCUGCAUCCUCUUCUCCAGAGAUAACAUAGAGCCCCCUACCACCACCCAAAUUGAGAGCUGAGGAUGGGCGGAUGGGCUCUCCAUUGGACUCUGAAGGCACUGCCAAAUUAAUAUCCUAUCCUCAGAUGACCCAACUACUGGGAGCACAAGCUUCUUCUCUAGGUCAACUAAUAGUCAUGACAUACUGUCCUUGAGUCUUCCCUGCAUCCUGCCACCCCCAGGAAACCAUGCCAUGACAAAAGAGCACAGUACUAGUUGAGGUCAUAGAUAUUAGAAUUAGUAGGACCUGACAUUUGGCAGUUAAGGAACCCUUAAUAGGUAAGUUAUUCAUUGUUUUAACCCUCAGUUUCCUCAUCUGUAACAUAAUAACAGCUCAUUAUAACAGUACAUAGCCUCCUUGAGUGAGAAACUAAAUUGAAUUCCUUCUCCUGGUUUGGUUUGGGCAGUGUCAUUUUUUUUUUUUUUGGAGACAGAGUCUUGCUUUGUCACCCAGACUGGAGUGCAUUGGUGCAAUCUUGGCUCACUGCAACCUCCACCUCCCGGGUUCAAACGAUUCUCCUGUCUCAGCCUCCCCAGUAGUUGGGAUUAUAGGCGUGCACCACCAUCCCUGGCUAAUUUUUGUAUUUUUAGUAGAGACGGGGUUUCAUCAUGUUGGCCAGGUUGGUCUUGAACUCCUGACCUCGUGAGCUGCCUGCCUCGGCCUCUUGAAGUGCUGGGAUUACAGGCAUAAGCCACCAUGCCCGGCCUGGGCAGUGUCAUUCUUCUAGAAUAUGAAGGCAUUGGCUUUUCAGCCAUAGACAUCCAAAUCCUGCACUAAGAAGCACUCUGAUGUUCGACAUUCAAGAAGAUGGCAGCGUAGAAGCAUCAGGAAUCCAUUUCCCCAUUUGGACAACAAUUGCACUGGCAGGAUCUCUCAAAUGUAACUAUUUUGGAACUUUGGUGUCUACUGAAGGCUUGCAACAUCCAGGGGAAGACUUGGGUGGUAAAUUGUGGUUGAUUUUGGCUAAUUUUAGCUCUUAGCUCAGUAGCAGCUGUCACCCACCAGCCAGGCAAACAGCUAUGCAUGUGUGCCUGAGGCAGCUUGCAAAAAGCUUGAAGGAGCCAAGGUGGGUGUAAGGACCCUAUCCUCCAAAUAAUGGGGAUCUUUGCUGUGAUUGCUAAUUGCUGCUUCUGGUUAUGGAGGUGUAGACACGGAGGUGAGCAGCAUUGCUGCAACCAUCAUUUGCACUUUUACAAUCCUCAUCUCUUUGGCUGAAGCAACUUCCAGGGGAAUUAAAGGGCCAGCACCUGUUUUUGGAGCCUGCUCUUUUUUUUCUUCUUUAUUUUUCCUUUAUUACCCUUUUGGAAUAAAAUAUUUAAGAACUAGGACAUCAACAACAACAACAUAUACAGAGGCAUUUGGAAAGUCAUCACACAAGCCUAGGGAAAGGUGCAGGCUCAAAAAAAGAUCUGAGAAGACCUUAAGUUUACAGUUAAGGCUGAACUUUGGCAGACAGACACCCUACCAAGGCAGAGAGUUACAGAGUUACAUAUUAUAAGAUUCCAAUGUCCAGUUUUCAGCAAAAAAAUCACAAAGCAUACAAACAGAAAAGUAUAACAGAUUUUUAAAAAUCAAUGGAAACCAUCUGUGAGAAAGACUAGAUGGUAGACUUACUAAACAAAGAGUUUAAAACAAUUAUCUUAAAGAUGCUCAAAGAGCUUGAAGAUGUAGACAAAAGUCAAGAAAACGUAUGAACAAAAUGGAAAUAUCAAUAAAGAGACAGAAAACACAAAAAGGAACUAAAGGAGCUAAAAAGUACAAUAACAAAUGAAAUUUUCACUAGAGGACUCAAAAACAGAUUUGAACAGGCAAAAGAAAGAAUAAGUGAACAUGAAGAUAGAACAAUUGAAUUCUUGACUCUGAGGACUUGAAGGCCAAAAAGAUUACAGAAAAGUGACCAGAGCCUUAGGAACCUCUGGCACAUCAUGAAGUAAACCAACAUAUACAUUGUUGAGGUUCCAGAAGGAGAAGACAAAGAAAAAGGGGCAAAGAGAUUAUUUGAAUAAAUAGUGGUUAAAAACUUCCAAAAUAUGAUAAAGACAUGAACAUAAAUAUGAACAUGAACAUAAAUUCAAGAAGCUCAAUGAUCUCAAAAGACCCACACCAAGACACAUUAUACUCAAACUGUCAAGACAAAGGAAGAAUCUUGAAAGCAACAAGAAAGAAAUGACUCAUCCCAUACACCGAAUCCCUGGGAAGGUAAGCAGAUUUCUCAUCAGAAACCUUGGAGAGGCCAGAAGGCAGUGAGUUGAUACAUUCAGAGUGCUGAGGCAGGAAAAAACAAACAAAACAAAACAAAAGUGUUGACCAAGAAUGUUAUAUCCAGCAAAACUAUCCUUUAAAAAUGAGGAAGAAAUUAAGACAUUCCCAGAUAAACAAAAGCUGAGGGAGUUUGUUACCACUAGACCUGCUGUCUUAGUCUGUUGUGUGUUGCUAUAAAGAAUGCCUGUUGCUAGGUAAUUUUUUUUAAUGAAAAAAGAAGUUUAUUUGGCUUAGGAUUCUCAUGUCUGGAAAAGUUCAAGAUUGGGCAUCUAACAAAGGCAUCAGGCUGCUUCCACUCAUGGCAGAAGGUGAAGGGGAGCCGGGAAGUGCAGAGAUCACAUGGUGAGAGAGGAAGCAAGAGAGGUAGCAGGGAGAUACCAGGCUCUUUUUAACAACCAACUCUCAUGGGAGCUAAUAGACUGAGAACUCACCCUCCCUGUGACUGUGUGGGUAUUAAUCUAUUCAUGAAGUGUCUGCCUCCAUAACCCAAACACUUCCCAUUAGGCCUCACUUCCCAGCACCACCACACCAGGGAUUGAAUUUCAACAAGAGGUUUGGAGGAGUCAAACAUCCAAACUGUAGCACCUGCCUUGCAAGAAGGGAGUUCUUUAGGUUGAAAUGAAAGGGCACUAAACAGUAACUCAAAGCUAUAUGAAAAAUAAAGAUCUCUGGCAAAAGUAAAUAUAUAAACAAUUAUAAAAUAGUAUUAUUGCAACUUUGAUUUGUUACUUCCACUUUUUAUUUUCUACAUGAUUCAAGAGAGUAAUGUAUUUAAAAACUUAUUAGUUUAUAUUUCAGGUGACACAAUGCACAAAGAUGUCAUUUUGUGAUAUCAAUAGCUGAAAGGGGGUAGGAGCAGAGCUGCAUAGAAGCAGAAUAUUUGUAUGCUCUUGAAGUUAAGCUGGUAUAAAUUCAAACUACAGUGUAUGCCUUUUUUUUGUUUUUUGUUUUGUAGAGAUAGCAUCUCACUAUGUUGCCCAGGCUGUUCUCAAACUCCUGGCCUCAAGUGAUUGUCCUGCCUUGGCCUCCCAAAGUGCUACAAUUACAGGCAGGUGUAAGCCAUCAUGUCUGGCCCAGUGUAUAACUUCAGGAAGGUAGUUUUAAAGAUGAAAAAUAUUCUAGAGAUGGAUGGUGGUGACAGUUACAUAAUAAUGCGAAUGUACAUAAUGCCACUGAACUGUACACUGAAAAUGGUUAUAUAAUAGUUAAUUUUAUGUUAUGCAUAUUUACAAUCUUGAAAAAUAAUUUUUAAAAAAUUAAAGAAGAGGCAGCUUAUGCUGUCUAAGGAGCCCCUUUUUCUACCUGCACUCUCUAUGCUUCACUCCUACUCACUUCACUUUUGAGGAGGAGCAUGUACACUCAUUUUUGAACUUGCUCUCAUUAACUGAUUCUUCUUUCUAAAGGAUAAUGCUUUUUCUUUCUCUCACUUUUGGUUAUUACUAGUGAAGACCAGUUACUGUCUCUUAUAUUAUGGAGCCAUGCAAACUAAAAAACAUAUUAUGAUUAUGUAUAAUAGAAAGAAAGGCAAGAUAUUUUUACUUCCCUUGGUGCUAUGUAGUACUUGUUGUUUUGGAUAUGAAAUGGUUAAGCAGUCAUCCCCUUGGAAGCUCUGCAGAAAGUGGGGAUGGGGGAUUUUUUUAGAUGAUUUUAAACAGGAAAUGCCAUGAUGAUCUGUUUCCACCAGAAUGGGUUUUUAUGUUCAGCUCUUACUCUAAAUCAGGAAGUUCUUGUUCCUGCCAGAAAGUGAGACAGAUAAACCCUUUCCUCUACUGCAGCCCACUAACAGUUCCACAGAGCACAGGAUCCAGAAAAUGGAAAUGGCUGGGUAUAGGGUAAAGUAUCUGACCCUACCUCAGGGCCAUGAAUAUGGGGCUGGGGAGCAAGGAGAGAAGACAGGGAUAGAGAAGCAGAGGGAGGAACAUGGGAGCAGAAGAGGGAGAGAUGGAAAGAGAAAGAAAACUGGUGAGGUGGCUUGCACUCGUAGUUCCAGCUACUUGGGAGGCUGAGGCAGGAGGAUCACUUGAGCCCCAGAAGUUUGAGGCUGCAGCGAGCUAUAAUCCUGCCAUUGCACUCCAGCCUGGGUGACAGAAUGAAAUCCUGUCUCUUGCAAAAAAAAAAAGAAAGAAAGAAAGAAAGAAAAGAAAUUGGACAUUAAAACCAGAAUCCCUAGGAAAUUAUUUCUAGUAUUUUUGUAUUGUUUCCAAGUUAACUGUACAGACAAUUGUAAGUAAUAGGUCUGUAUGGAGGAAUCUCAGCCAGUUUCAAAGACUCUCUUUGUUGCCUUCAUGAAGUCCCAAGGUAAGUAACCUAUCAAGCAUAUAUACAUUCACUGGGUGCCUUCUGCCUAUUACAGUAAAAAAAGCUAGAACUCAUUCUGCCCCAAAACAGGUAAAGAGGCUCCCAGAAUGUAUUUUAAUUGAACUUAAGAUAGUCUGGUUAUUCUACAAAUUCUGAGAGUAACACCUGUGCUCUUGCUGACUCACCACCAGCAGAAAAUGAUUAAGAUGGCUAUUUACAGGGUACACAAUGUUUUCUAGCUUAAUUAGCCUCUUACCUUCAUCCAGGAACUAACGCCAGAUGCCUCUGUCCUCAUGGCAGUCACCUGGCCAUGACCAGAAUCCCAGUUUGAGUGUCUCUGCAGGGAGGAAGAAAAGGGGUGGGAAAGGAAGGAAAGACAUCACUAUUUAUCAAAUGAAUGCCUUGUCCCUGGCACUGUGCUUCCACAUAUGUUCCUGAUUAAUUGUCCCAACAACUCUGAGAGGUCGGUGUUAGUAUGUUCAGUUUCCAGAUGUGGAAACAGAGGCUUAAGGACUUGGAGUAAUUUACUCAAGAUCCCAGAGUCAGGAGAGAGGGAAGCCAAAAUUGCAACUGUCCUGCUCCAGUGUGCAUGGUCUUUUCAUGGGAGGUUUGUGCAAACAACACCAAAUCCUAAGCCUUUACUCUCAGCUUCCAAUCAUGCAGAGUAUUUCCUGACAAAUUCCUGGUAACAGCAUUAUUCUACAGCAUGCCCCGGGAGUCUUGGGAGUCAUACUUGGUUACGAGAAGUGCAAAACAAAAAUAAAACUCUAAGCGCCCCCAACCAACUGAAUGGAUCCCUCUCUUGGCCAAGAAGGAUUCCAAAAAAUACCUGAAAAACCACAUCAGCCCAUGAUGGGAAGGAGGAGUCAGACUUACCUCCUUCUACUGUCUUCCCUUUGGAGUUUAGACGUGACUGACCAACAUUAACAUUGACUCAGAGACCUUAAGACUGAAAAAACAGACUCUUUGUAGCAAUAACAUACCACAUUCCAACCUGACUCUGGUAUGGAAUCACAUGACGGAUAUCAGGCCCUGAAAGAAAUGGCAGUAUUUUAUCCCAAAAUAUAUUCCCUUGACAUAUUUUGAAAUGACCCUGAAAACCUGUCUCUUGUGGGGGAAAUUUGCUUUCUAUAGAGAAUCUUCUUCCCUUAUUAGGCCUUUUCUGGAGAGUCUGACACCUUUUAGGGUCAGACAAGAGACAUUCACUGCUUAUUCUCUCUGAAACCUGCUAUUUGGAGGCUUCAUCUACAUGACAAGAACCUUGGCUUAAGCUCCAGCUUAACUCUUUCAACCAAUUGCCAGUCAGGAAAUCUUUGAAUCCACCUAUGACCUCGAAGACCCUGCUUCGAGAAGUCCUGCCUUUCUGGGUUGACCCAAUGUAUACCUUACAUGUAUUCAUUUAUGUAUUUCCCUGGUAACUUCUGUCUCCCUAGAAGGUAUAAAACCAAGCUGUAACCCAGCCACCUUGGGCACAUGUUCUCAGGACCUCCUGAGGCUGUGUCACUGGCCAUGGUCCUUAACCUUGGCAAAAUAAACCUCUAAAUUAAUUGAGAUAAGUCUCAAAUACGUUCUGGUUUACAGAAGAAAAGUAGAAAUGGGAGUAAGAGUAGGCCAAAGAAGAGAAGAAUGGACACGGUUUCACCCUGAUGAAGUCACUGUGCCUAGUAAUAUCUCAGACCUGUGAUUAUUACAUUGCCUGGCCAAAUAGGACACGUUCCUCAAGAUUAGGCUCAAAUGCUACCUAAUAUCUGUCCCACUUCAUACUCCCCACCCUGGAAUCCUCUUGGCUCAGUUAAAAGUGUUUCACGUUCUUGACUGGUAUCUCCAGACUGAAUAUACCUUCACUCUACCCUCCACCCCUAAACCACUCAGGUCCAGAGAUAGUUUCUAAGUGGGAGAAAGGAUCCUUAGCUAAGACAUCUCUGGUCCCCAUGCCAGAAUCUACUCAGAGGGUCAGUUUGUGGCUUCCCUUCAGUGGGGCUUGAGAGACAGGGCCAAAGGGACUCACCAACAUAACCUUGAAACAGUUAAAAACCACGUGCACCCUGCCAGAUAGACCUACUAGAAUCUCAGGCCAGUGGUUAUUCAAGUUUUUGGUCUUUGGAUCUCCUUCCUUCUUUCCUUCCUUCCCUCUUUCUUUUCUUUUCUUUCUUUCUCUCUCUUUCUUUCAUCUCUCUUUCUCUUUCUUUUUAUUAUUAGAGACAGGGUCUUGCUAUGUUGCCCAGGCUGAAAUGCAGUGGCUAUUCAACAAGUGCCAUCUUAGCCUCCUGAGCACAAGCAAUCCUCCCACCCACUUAGUCUCUUGAGUAGCUGGGACUACAGACACAUGCCACCGUGCCUGCCUGGCUUUUUUGCAAAUCUUUUUAAUGAUUGGCUUUUUAAAAAACAGUUGGAUCCUCAUAUCUACUUCUGCAUUCAACCAGUUGUGAUAUGUUUUCUGCUUGAAGGAUAUGAAGAAAAUCCAGCCUCGGAUAGAUAAAUAGUUGGAAAAGGAAAGAGUGUCUUUAAUGGCCUUUUCAGAAGACUGUAGACAUUCUUCUUUGAUAUGACACCAAGACUAAACUGGAUGUCAUUUCUUUAAGGUAGUUGCAAUAUGGAAUCUGAAACCUUAUUGUCAAACUGUCCACACUAUGUUACAUUACAGUCAGUUUAUCUUGCACUUUAAGCGGAUCUUUUACCUAUGCAUAGUCUUGUAACAUUUUGCAUUGAUCAUUUGGAAAAUAUGGUUCAC